rnacentral:rRNA from 1 species
AGCAGCAGCCGCGGUAAUACGUAGGGUGCAAGCGUUAAUCGGAAUUACUGGGCGUAAAGCGUGCGCAGGCGGAUAGGUCAGUCUGUCUUAAAAGUUCGGGGCUUAACCCCGUGAUGAGAUGGAAACUGCCAAUCUAGAGUAUCGGAGAGGAAAGUGGAAUUCCUAGUGUAGCGGUGAAAUGCGUAGAUAUUAGGAAGAACACCAACGGCGAAAGCACUCUGCUGGGCCGACACUGACACUGAGAGACGAAAGCUAGGGGAGCAAAUGGGAUUAGAUACCCCCGUAGUCCCUGUCUCUUAUACA